UACGUAGGGGGCGAGCGUUGUCCGGAUUUAUUGGGCGUAAAGCGCUCGUAGGCGGUUCGUUAAGUCUGAUGUGAAAGCCCUGGGCUCAACCUGGGAAUGGCAUUGGAAACUGGCGACCUAGAGUGCGGUAGAGGGUAGUGGAAUUCCCGGUGUAGCAGUGAAAUGCGUAGAGAUCGGGAGGAACAUCCGUGGCGAAGGCGACUACCUGGGCCAGCACUGACACUGAGGCACGAAAGCGUGGGGAGCAAACAGG
rnacentral:rRNA from 1 species